GCUUACGGCCAUACCACCCUGAACGCGCCCGAUCUCGUCUGAUCUCGGAAGCCAAGCAGGGUCGGGCCUGGUCAGUACUUGGACGGGAGACCGCCUGGGAAAACCAGGUGAUGUAAGCU
ensembl:rRNA 5S_rRNA 5S ribosomal RNA